UACGGGGGGGGCAAGCGUUGUUCGGAAUUACUGGGCGUAAAGGGCUCGUAGGCGGCCAACUAAGUCAGACGUGAAAUCCCCAGGCUCAACCUGGGAACUGCGUCUGAUACUGGAUGGCUUGAAUCCGGGAGAGGGAUGCAGAAUUCCAGGUGUAGCGGUGAAAUGCGUAGAUAUCUGGAGGAACACCGGUGGCGAAGGCGGCGUCCUGGACCAACACUGACACUGAAAAGCGAAAGCCAGGGGAGCAAACGGG
rnacentral:rRNA from 1 species